rnacentral:rRNA from 1 species
UACGGAGGGGGCUAGCGUUGUUCGGAAUUACUGGGCGUAAAGCGCACGUAGGCGGCUUUGUAAGUUAGAGGUGAAAGCCCAGGGCUUAACCCUGGAAUUGCCUUUAAGACUGCAUCGCUAGAAUCGUGGAGAGGUAAGUGGAAUUCCGAGUGUAGAGGUGAAAUUCGUAGAUAUUCGGAAGAACACCAGUGGCGAAGGCGGCUCACUGGCUCGAUACUGACGCUGAGGUGCGAAAGCGUGGGGAGCAAACAGG